UUUCCGCAGGUGAACCUGCGGAGGGAUCAUUACAGAGUUCAUGCCCUACCGGGUAGAUCUCCCACCCUAUGUUAUUAUUACUUUGUUGCUUUGGCGGGCCGCUAGGCUCCGGCCCGACUACCGGCCCCGGCUGGUAAGCGCCCGCCAGAGGACCCAAAACCCUGAAUAUUAGUGUCGUCUGAGUACUAUAUAAUAGUUAAAACUUUCAACAACGGAUCUCUUGGUUCUG
rnacentral:misc_RNA from 1 species